GAAAUCCAAGUCCAAGGGCGGAGACUGGUAAGGACACCCUGACCACUGCGGCAUCAGGGCUGGCCCAGGAGGGGACAGCAAGCGGCCAGCCAUCUUCUGAGCUCCUACCCUGCCCUGGCUGCCCGCUGAGCUGGCUCUGCAGCUGGGCCACAUGGGAUCGACUUCAAUCUGGCAGCAGUGAAUUCAGAUGCCCACCCAGCACCAACUAUCAGACAUGCCCUCCACAUUUCAACUCCCUCUUGCCCGGUGUGCUGUGCCCUCCUGCCCUCUCCCUGCCACUGCUGCUGUCCCCUCUUCAGGCCACAAAGAGCCCCCUGGAGAUGUGCACUGACCCAGCAUAACCAAGUCAGCACACCAUCUCCUCUGCCACCUGUGUCUCCUUCUGGGAGCCUUCGCUGGACCUCCCAGCAGGGCUGCCCUAUCCCUGCUGAGCACUAUCAGGCCCAGAUGGAACGGGCUGCCCUCCAGCCUCCCCACCAGCUGUAAGCUGGCAAAGCCAGCCUUGUGGCCUAUUCCCUACCACCUGACCAGCUCCCAUCACUGAACUGCUGUGUGCCUGAUAAAGAGAACGAGCCGGUGAAAGGACAGACCACUCCGGAGCAGACUGAGUGCCCACAUGGGUCCAAGGCGGGCCCCGUGAGGCAGUGAGCUAGCUCCCGGCAGGGGUGACCCAAGAGGCUUUCCUGAGGCCCAGGUGUGGAAGUCAGAACUAGAGGGACAGGGAGACACAAGGUGCAGGUAAAGGAAUGGGCAGGCAGAAAGCAAGAGGUAGGGGUUCAGAGGGGCAGGGAAACUGUGGGCCAGGAGAACAGCAGGACCCAGAUGGUGCCCCAGCUACAGCUGUGCACGAGGAAGAUCAUUCAGAGACACCCAGCUAGGCCGGAUAGGCUGGAGAAACAGGGCAAGUAUAGGAGGAGCAGCUGCAGUUUGGGUAAUCCCGGCCCUGCCCUCCCACCCGGGCUGAUAAGGUCUGCCAGGAAACCACCCUCCCUGGCCAGGCAAGCAAGGCUAUCGAAAGUGAGCGAGGAGGGGCUCCUGGAGCCAGUUUCAUGUCCUGCAAACAUCUUGCAGUUGUGCACACAAGAGACAGCUGGUAGCUGCUGGGCCAAUGGCAAAGCUGGUUCUGGACUAUGGGCUCAAACUCCACACAGUGGAAAGGUUCUGCCCACAUUCCUCAGUCAUAAGAGGCUCCUGAGCAUCUGAUAGGCCACUAUAGUGGCCAAGAAACUGCAUUUCUGAUUUUAUUUGAAACUUAAGUCAUCUAGAUUUAACUGGUCACAUGUGGCGAGUGGCUGCCCUGCCGGACCAUGCCCAGUGUGAUAAGGAGUGUCCUAUCCCAGCUGCAUCUUGGGGCUGAAGCCAGACUGGUCCCAGAAGAGGGAGGAAAGGGCUGAGUGGCCAGGCGCUGCUACUGAGAUGUCUUAAGAUGGACAGAUAAACAGAGGAGGGCACUAACAGCUCCCUGCACCCGACACUCACCAUGUGCCAGGCACAUGCCACAUUCUUUGCAAACAGUGUCUAGCUUAAUUGUCAGAGCAAGGAAUCCUAUGGUCACCAACACCUUUUGGCACAGAGAUACCCAGCCACAGGUCCAAGGACCCCUGGAGGCCCCAUCAGGACAGCCCUGGGUGGAGCCCCACACUUUAGACCCUCCUAGGGAGCAGGCAAGAGCCAGGGCAGCCCUUGGCCUUGUAAGGACACAGGUGGGACAAGACCCAGUGAGAAGCCAUCAGUGCUGGGAGUCCUGCUCUGACUGCUCCACCAGAGAGAUCAGUGACCAUGGGAGCCCCACUGAGGGCUAUUUAUCUACUGGUUCCUCUCUAUAUUCUACCACCCCACAAAUGGCAGGUGACAAAGUGAGCAGUUUAAAAAAAAAAAAA